UGCAUUCACUACUGUAAGUCGCUCUGGAUAAGAGGGUCUGCUAAAUGACGUAAA
rfam:Salmo salar isolate Sally breed double haploid chromosome ssa02, whole genome shotgun sequence.